CAUUUAUCUAUACAUUUAGGGAUGGUCUCAAACUUCACGUUUACUUGCACAAAAAUGAAUUGAAUACCAUAUCACCAUGAGUAAUCACAUCAAUAUCAAUUUACAACUUUCACAUAGAGAAGAGACAGACGAGUCAAAACAUUCUUUAACAAACAUGUCUUGAGGCUGGUGUUUGGAUGUGCGGUGUCGUUCAAACGUUUUGUCCAGCUGGUGGCGUUUUCACAGACUUCUUUUAAAAUAAGAACAGUAGAAGAAGAAUCCACGCGCUUCCCUCUCUUCCGGUCCCUUCCGCCCAUGUCCGCCGCGCGCGCAUCUUCAAGCCAGUUAUCCUCGAGCUCAACAGGGCAGCCCGAGGUCCGCGAGCUCACUGCGGCACCGGCAAGUUUAAUAACAAGGCUGUGGCUGAUGGCUGGUACGAGUCAGAUGGCUCGGAGUCUUUCAUUCAUACAACAUCUUUAAGGGUAAAGUAUUAUAGGUAAAUCAGUAUGAGGUCUUUAUAAAAUGUUUUCAGAUUGCAUUUUCACUUUAAUAGUAAAAUAAGAUUAGGCCAGGCGUCUUAGUGAUCACACCCACAUAAUGUAUAUUACAGGUAUUCAUCAUUUCUCUCUUUCACAGGUCAUUUGAGUAUUGUCUCCAGUGGGAAAUACCCAUGUCUCCCAGGCGCUCCUCCAGAGUACCAAAGGCCUCCAAGAAGAGCUCCCAGAAAAGCGCCAGCCUUGUAAAGGAGGUUCAGCCACAGAGGUUGAAGGGUAAGAGGCCAAAGACAGGGCCGAAGAAGGCCAAAGUCGAUGACAGCAUAGGCAAUACAGAUGAAGGGAGUGACCGUGAUAUCCUCGACAUCAUCAACGGGACAAAUGCUGCGAGACGUGUUGCCAAGGAGGAAGAGAGCUUUGUAAAGGUGACUGAUGAAGGAGUGGAUGAGUCGGAUGAGGACAGGUACUCUGUUUCUAGCAGUGUGGCUUCUGGUCCUUCCCUCCUGCUCAACACCACUGCCAAGAAAUGGAGGCCCUCGAAGGGAGAGUGCUCAGCCUGCCGGAAGCUCUAUCAGAAGGCUAAGAGGAUGAAAGCACCAAUUAAAAAUAAACUCUUAGACAAUGAUCCCGUUUCCCUGACAUGUGACCAGUGGGUACUGAUCAAGACCUGGAGACCGAGGAGGCUGCCUAAUGCAGGAGGGAAACUUUUGACCCAUAUAAAACUGGUUGAGAAAAGACUCAAAGGCAAGAAUGGUGCAAUGCGAUCCAAGCAACGUGCUGUAGAGGGUAAACCAUCAGUCUGUUCGAGGGCGCACACUUUCCUUCAGAGGAACCUUCGACAGUGUGUCAGAGUUCCAAUGAAAAAAGAGAGGAAGAAGAACCGGAGGAAGAGGACAAGAGAUGAUUCUGAGGGUCCUCGCGUCGCCAAGCAGCAGCGUCUGCACGAAAGCGAUCACCGCCAGCACAUCAGUAGUGACGACACCAAUGAUGACAGUCCUGAUCUAGCCAGGGGUAGCAGUAGCUGUGCUGGCCUCGAGGGAUUUAGUGAGCAAGACAUGGAGUAUCUGAGUCCCUCCAAAAUUCCCCUGGAAAAAACCACCAAGCCCAGAGAGGUCCCAACCAAUAAGAAAGCACCAAAGAGGGGUGGGUUCAGAGAGCUGCUUGCCCAGUUGCGCGGCAACAGCAGCAUGGUUGUCAGAGAAACACGUUAGCGAGUUGACUCCCGACUUUUGUUUUUUAAGCCACCAGGCUUUUACUUGUGAUUUUCUCAUUGAUGUUUGGCGUUCUAAAUACCGGUCUGUAAAUACUUGUUGCCAUUCAUGUUGAGUUGUAUUUAACUUUUUACAGAAGUGAAUGACAUGUAACUCUAUUUGAGUUUAUUGGCAAAGUUCUGCUGCAGUGUGCUGCAUGCUGUACUUGCAUGCUAUUUAUUUUUUCUUAAAUUUCCAAAUGGCGUUUAUUUAAAGUUUCAUACAACAGCAUAACUGAAUAAAUGUGUGUUUCCUUUACAUUGAUGCUGUUUUUGGCCGUAUUAGGGAUGCACAAUAAUAUCUGGACGGAGCGGUGUCACAAUUUCGAUUCUGAAUAGAAAGCGGUCAAAAUGAGCUUUCAAUUUGAUCAUCAAUUUCUAACGCAGUAUCAAUGUUCAGAUCAGUCAGUUCUUUAUUUGUGCCAAUUCACAACAAAAGUCAUCUGUCACUUUCAAAACUGAGCAGGUCUAAAUGUAGGUCUCACGUGCUUCAUUUAAAAGAUAUAAAAAAAAUGACAGCUAGCGAUUAAGAUGAUCUACUUGCUUGUAUCUGAGGUAACUGUGACAGCAGCGAUGAUGUUGGGUUAUUAUCAUUUUUCAGGUCCCUUCACUCAUUUGUUUGGGAAGAGGUUUACUUCAGACAGAUUUGAGCGACUGAACCGUGUGCUGUUGUCCCACAAUGCACUGAAGAAACUGAGUUUGUACUCACAUGCACAAAGUGAAGUUUAAAUGGCAGCGACAGUCUAAUAGCAAAUGAUUGUAAAAUUUAGUCUAACUAUUAAGGUGUGUUGGAAAAACUACAGCAACCAUAAAGAUUAGCGUUGUAUAUACAUUUUGCCAUGGGUUCUAUCAAACUGCAUCUCUACCCCAGCACACCGUCAAGCUCGUGCGCCUGCUUCAGAUGGAGUGCAUGCUAACGCUUAAAGCUGAGCAGCUAUAGUGAAGAUUUCAGGUUAACAUCUCAUCAAAUCAAUUUGGAAACAUGAAAUGUUCUGUAAGACUACACUUUACCCUCUCAACUCAUCUUUUAAACGAAUGAAUGAUCCCAGGUGAUCAUUGUGCCUUGUAGGACCCUUCUCUAAAAGCCCACAUGGUGGCGCCACUUACUAAAGGAAUCAGCCCUCCAGUUACAGUAUAUCAGUUCUUUGCCAUUCAGUGUACCUUGAUACAGAAUACAGUUUGACUUGUCCUAUCAGGGAGAAGCACAGGAGUGAUAGAUAACAUCAAUGAUCACAAAGUGUCCCAGUGAACGAGAACGUGCAGCAAGAAGAGCCACAGAAGCAGUGUGUCUAAAUGGAAUUCAUCCGUUAAUGAAUGUGAUAAGUUACACCUGAGUUUUGUGCUCACAGCAUCAGCUUUGGGGGGAAAAAAGUUAUCAGCAGCACAAUCGAUAUUAUUACUUACUGUGGGUUCAGGUUUCUGUUCCAAGAAGCAUGUUGACCAUGUUAUCUUGAUAACUUUUGUGAGGGUGAACCAGGAAUAGGUUAUUAUUAGUGAGUGUUUCACAGCAGUGUAUUUUUUAGUUGUGUGUGCUGAUACCAGUGAGUGUGGAGGAAGGGUGGGCAAAAUGAGACAGAGAUAAGGAACUGAGAGUGUAGUCUUGAAGGUUUGACUUUGUUUUUUGGGGGGUGCCGCUGUUUACUUAUGGGAUUAGUGUAUUGGGAGAGGAUGGAGACUUCCAGCCAGGGCAGCGAGUGUCAAGCCAGGAAAAAGUGUCUGCUGACAGGCAUCACACACGUGGAUGUGGUCUGUGGAGUUUAGUCACACAAUCAACGCACUGAUUGCAUUGAAAUGUCAUUCAAGUUAAAAUGACAAAUGAAUAAUUGAAUAAAAAAAAAAAAUUCAAUCACAGAAUUUAAUAUUUAACGUUGACAUUACUGGUUCCGAUUAAUGACGUGUUGAAUUAAAAGACUAACCUGUGUGCCAGCACUGUCAACACAGCAUCUGGCCAAUCAGAGCCCCAGCCGUCGCUCUGCUGCCGACACAUCUUAAACCGAAACGGCCAUGAAAUGAAAACCAAAGCAGGAAGCGAAUGAACUGUGAGAGGGUACUUGAUUUAAAGAUGCAUUAUGUAACAUUUCGGCAUUAAAUGUCUAAAAACAGCUACACUACAGUUGUGUACUAACAGUAUCCCAAAUGUUUCUGACAUGUCCAAAGAGUACAUGUCAGAGGAGAUCCAUUAUGUCGUUCAAGGUAACGGUGCGUUUAAUAUGGUCUCCAGGACAAAGUCACAGAGUGAGGAGGGAGGUUUGGCGAACGUGUCUGAACAUAACCUGAUUAAAAUGUUCAUAUGUUACCUAAUCAGUAAACAUUUUCCGUCUGAGUCACAUCAGAUUCUCAUCAGCAACAGUGGUUGUUUAACAAUGAGAACAACUCCCACCAUCCCACACAACGUACAUUUAGUUUUGUUUUCAUUGAGACUCCUAACGGCAAAAAUGACAUGCUGUGUGUUUUAAAAGUCUUUAAAUGAAAUUGCUACUUCAUUUUUAAAAUUCAGUUAUUCAUUCUAUUAAAGACAAACUGAGGAAUCCAGAAUGUGCCAAUUGAAUUCCCUCUUUAUAUGCGUCCUUUAACUUCAGUAUUGAUUCAUUAAAGGGGCACUAUGUAGUUUUGGUGAGGAAAUUCAAACUCAGAAUUUUUAUGUUUACAAUAUUGAUGAGGUAAUAAUACAAGAGAUAUGUAAUUUUCUAUAACUGAAUAAACCAGCUGUUCUCAGAGGAAAAUGUUUGAAGCCAAAAAGGUGGCAGGGUCCGCCACAUAUAAACAAAGUCAAAC
ensembl:lncRNA